rnacentral:rRNA from 1 species
CCCUUAGAUGUUCUGGGCCGCACGCGCGCUACACUGAAGGGAUCAAAACGUUUUCCCUCUCCGAGAGGAGCGGGUAACCUUUCGAACCCCCUUCGUGGUAGGGAUCGGGGCUUGCAAUUAUUCCCCGUGAACCAGGAAUUCCCAGUAAGCGUCAGUCAUAAGCUGGCGUUGAUUACGUCCCUGCCCUUUGUACACACCGCCCGUCGCUACUACCGAUUGAACGUUUUAGUGAGGUAUUUGGAUUGGACCUCGGAAGGGUUUUCCCUUCCGUUUGUCCGAGAAGACUCCCAAACUUGAGCGUUUAGAGGAAGUAAAAGUCGUAACA